rnacentral:rRNA from 1 species
CCUACGGGGGACAGCAGUGAGGAAUAUUGGUCAAUGGCCGGAAGGCUGAACCAGCCAUGCCGCGUGAAGGUCAGUGCCCUUUGGGCGUUAAACUUCUUUUGUGCGGGAGCAAUACUGGUCCCGUGUGGCCAGACGAGAGUACCGUACGAAUAGGCCUCGGCUCACUCCGUGCCAGAAGCCGCGGGAAUACGGGGGGUGCUAGCGUUAUCCGGAUUUAUGGGGUUUAAAGGGUGCGUCGGCGGGGAGGUAAGUCAGCGUGGAAAUGCCCCGGCUCAACGGGGUGAAGUGCCAUUGAUACUGCAUUGCUGGAAUGCGGAUGCCGUGGGAGGAAUGUGUGGUGUAGCGGUGAAAAGCAUAGAUAUCACACAGAACACCGAUUGCGAAGGCAUCUCACGAAUCCGCGAUUGACGCUGAUGCACGAAAGCGUGGGUAUCAAACAGGAUUAGAUACCCGAGUAGUC